rnacentral:lncRNA from 1 species
AAUAACAAAUCCGGUUUACAAUCUAAAACUGAGGGAAACGCAUUAAAUAUUUCCCCGACCAUCAUUCCGAAUGGCCUCUUUUAUGACGAGACAUACUCAUUGAAUUUUAUAUUAUCUUGUUCUCGUCCUGAACAUGCAUGCAAUAUUUGCCACUGAACACUAAGCAACCAACAAUCAAUCGUGUUACAACAAGACAACCUCUCACCGGACAGUACUGGUCCCUCUUGUUCGCUAUCCC